AAAUUGAAGAGUUUGAUCAUGGCUCAGAUUGAACGCUGGCGGCAGGCCUAACACAUGCAAGUCGAGCGGUAGCACAGAGAGCUUGCUCUCGGGUGACGAGCGGCGGACGGGUGAGUAAUGUCUGGGAAACUGCCUGAUGGAGGGGGAUAACUACUGGAAACGGUAGCUAAUACCGCAUAACGUCGCAAGACCAAAGUGGGGGACCUUCGGGCC
rnacentral:rRNA from 2 species